UACGUAGGGACCAAGCGUUGUUCGGAUUUACUGGGCGUAAGGCGGCGUAGAGCGGCUUGACAAGUCACUUGUGAAAUCUCCGGGCUUAACUCGGAACGGCCAAGUGAAACUGUCAUGCUAGAGUGCAGAAGGGGCAAUCGGAAUUCUUGGUGUAGCGGUGAAAUGCGUAGAUAUCAAGAGGAACACCUGAGGUGAAGACGGGUUGCUGGGCUGACACUGACGCUGAGGCGCGAAAGCCAGGGGAGCAAACGGG
rnacentral:rRNA from 1 species